GACGAACGCUGGCGGCGUGCUUAACACAUGCAAGUCGAACGCUGAAGCACCAGCUUGCUGGUGUGGAUGAGUGGCGAACGGGUGAGUAAUACGUGAGUAACCUGCCCUUGACUCUGGGAUAAGCCCGGGAAACUGGGUCUAAUACUGGAUGCUACAUGUCACCGCAUGGUGGUGUGUGGAAAGGGUUUACUGGUCUUGGAUGGGCUCACGGCCUAUCAGCUUGUUGGUGAGGUAAUGGCUCACCAAGGCGACGACGGGUAGCCGGCCUGAGAGGGUGACCGGCCACACUGGGACUGAGACACGGCCCAGACUCCUACGGGAGGCAGCAGUGGGGAAUAUUGCACAAUGGGCGAAAGCCGGAUGCAGCGGCGCCGCGGGAGGGAUGACGGCCUUCGGGUUGUAAACCUCUUUCAGCAGGGAAGAAGCCACAAGUGACGGUACCUGCAGAAGAAGCGCCGGCUAACUACGUG
rnacentral:rRNA from 1 species